rnacentral:misc_RNA from 1 species
AAUAUACCCUCCACUCAUAUUGCUCCACACACACACUUUUUUAACUUUUGUUAGAGUUACAUAACUUUUCAACUUCAAAACAAAAAAAUUAAAACAAAAAAGAGAUUAUCAAAUCAUGGGCAUGGAUCUUCAAGUAACAAGGUAAGAAGACUCAAGGGACUGGACACUGAACUAAAAACAAAAGAUAAUAACACAUUAAUGAGAGUAUCCAUCAAAAGGAAAAAAGAGUGGAAAGCUAUCACACUAUCAGAAACUUAGAAACCUUGAACCAACAGGCAUUAAAUAAAUUGUCAGUAUCUAGGCACAAAAUAUUUUUUUGCUUGAGCAAAAGAUAUAGUCUAAUGUUGGACAU